CGUCUUUGGUGUGAAAGGAGGACGUGGAGGCCGUGUGACAGCCAUGGCGAGCUACAAGGUGAAGCUUGUGACCCCAAGUGGAGAGCAAGAGUUCAGUUGCCCAGAUGAUGCAUACAUUCUUGAUGCUGCAGAGGAAGAAGGCAUUGACCUUCCUUACUCAUGCAGGGCUGGUUCUUGCUCUUCAUGUGCUGGCAAAGUUGUGGGUGGCCAAGUGGACCAGUCUGAUGGUAACUUCCUUGAUGACGACCAAAUUGAGCAAGGCUUUGUUCUCACCUGCGUUGCUUAUCCCACUUCUGAUGUUGUUAUUGUCACUCACAAGGAGGAGGAGCUCGUUGCUUAAAUCUUGUCAUCACUUUCCUUUCCCACUUCUGAUGAUGUAUGCUGCUUUUUCUUUUUAUGUCUUGUGCCAUUUCUCAGGAUAUACACACCCAUUAUUAUUAUUAUGCAGUAAUUGAUUACUUCACCUGUAGCAGCAGCUGAACUUGUUUUUGUCACUAUAAUAAUCUUUUCUUUACAGUUUUUGCACUCCUUUCCUCUUUCCUCGGCUUCAAUAAUUGAUUACCCUUUUAUGCAUUACAUAUAUACUAUCUAAAUUUGUGUGCUUUCUGCAUUGAUUUUCAUCCUUCUGUCACAUUGGAGUUAACAAUGAUGAGGGUAACUUGCAUCUUACCAAGAAAUAUUGAUGUUAGACUCAAAAAAAACCCACACAAGACUAAAAAAAAACACUAAAUGAUAAUUAGAACAAGUUUUUAGUUUCUUUUUAGUAUUUGUGUGAGUUUUUUUUUUUGAGAGGUUAACAUCAAUCAACGACGGUGGCUUCUUGUUCUUAACUUGGUACUGAAGAUGGUGUUAAUGUCCUGAGACUAAUUGUAUGGCCAACUUUUUUUUACUUUUGUAUCACUUAAAAGAGAUAACAUAUUUAAUUGUAUCUACAGUACAAGGUACAUUUUUCAUUCUCAACUACUUUGUGUCGGUGCCAAAACAUUGAUUUAAGAAUGAUUUCUAUAUCUAUGCCAUGAAGAGUAGUAAAACUUCAAAUAUGAAACAUAAAUGGAUGAUGUCUUCUGUAGCACAUACUUAUGCUUCUCUCCUUCGCCAUUGAAGGACAGUUUUGGGGGAGAGUGAUUGUAUUCGUCUGUAAGUCUUGAGUCAAUAUUUAACAAAGAAAUUGAGAUGAAAAUUCUGGCAAUGCUAAAAUAUCUGUUGGGUAUGGAUUCAAACCUUAAUUAGGAGCAUUGCUUCUGUGAGAAUUCUGCUGUGAACAUGGAGAUGUUACAAAAUUUAUGACCACAAAUUGGAGCUUGUCAUUCUAUCCUUCUUAACAUUUCAAAGGGUGUGGUUGACAAUGCUAUGAUUCAAUGUUUCGAUAUGGUUAUGGAUUACUUCCAAGUCAUACUCUGUUUUUUUCUCUUAUUCAGACUGGUGUCUUGACUCUUUGGUUUGUAUGAGAUUGAUUAAUUGAUGAAUUACUAUGUUGAGGUUUGUCAUGUGUUCUAUGAGUUGUUAGUUGGAGGUUUUUUGGUGUCUUGUUUUGAGAAAGGUUAAGGUUUAUUUUUCUUUAUAAAGAUUGAACUAUCCUGAAAUAGAGAUGUUAAUGUUUAUUUUUCUGUAUAAAAGUUGAACCAUUUGAAUAGUUCAUAUUUAUUUUCUUGUCGAUAAAAAAAAAUAGCAGUUAAAUACUAUACCAAAGUUUUACACAUGAAUAUACACCAAUAAAAAAAAUAAACAGUUUUUCAUUGGUCAAUUAACAAAUUAAAUAAUUAUAAAAAACAAAGGACUGCGUAAAAUGAAAUUCAACCAUGCAAUUCUGAGUGGAAGUUUUGACUGAAUAAUUCGAAAAAACUAGCAUUUUUCAAUUUAUAACCACGGUUGCAUCUCAUGUAAUAGUAAUAUUCAUAAGCAAAAGAAAUAGAAGUGCAUAACCUACUCUCUGAGAGGGCCUGGAGAGGGUGCUCUUGGAACAAAGUUUUGUAACUAUUGAAGAGCCAUUGAAAUAUGCUACUGUUCUGACCUCAAGUCAGUUGGACAGCAUCGCUAGGGUCAAUCACCGCAUCCGAGGUAUUGUCCGCUUUGAAGGUUGGUGCUCCGUCACGGUUUUGUCCUUAAAAGAUGUCUCAAAGGGUGAAGGGAGGAGGGAGUAUAUAAACUGCCCUUGACCUCGAUUCCUGAGCGAUGUAAGAUUGUAUUGGCAGCCUCGAUUGUGAAGAAUCUGUGGAGAUAACAUAGGCACACAGAAUGAAACAUGGUACAAAAUGUUUAGAUGUUCUUUUUAAGAGGAGAUCUAGUCACAACAAUGAUGGUAAAUGUUGAGUUCAUUAAAUAUAUAACAGUUUUGCAAAGAAAAGAAGGUAGCAUGUGAAGUGAAGAAGAUGAAGAAUGUUACAAAAAUGUAUGGUGAAGGGAAGAUGAAUAGACUUGGUAGCAUUCAACCUCCACAUCUUAUUGCACUUUCAAUGCAUUCAAUUACUUCCUCUACCAUAAAUCCAAUUUCAGUAUAAAAAGAUGAAAAUGUUUUUAGAUAAAAUGAAGGUAAUUAUAAAAAUACAUUUAAGAUUUACUUUUUUGGACAAAUAUCUGGAAUGAAAUUUUGAUUUUAUUUUCGAAUUUUUAUUUCUAGAACACAAUAACCUCUUCUAGAUCUAUUUUUUAAAAUAUAUUGUUUUCAAUUCUAGAUUUUUAUUUCGAGAAUGAAGGACAUUUUAAAAAAUUUAAAAUUGUGUAGGGUGCAAAUUUAAAAUGAUUGAGUGUAUGAAGAAUUUGUCUUUAUCAUAGUUCCCACUAUGUUAACCAACACAAUUGCUUGCUGAAAAUUUUCCUCACUUCGUUUUCUUUACAUUUCGACCUUAUGCAGCCUCAAACGUUAAUUUCAAAAGAAAAAUGAUAGUUUGACAACUCUUAAAGUUGUAUACAACUCUUGAUGUGAUAGGUUUAGAAAUAAAUAUAUAUAAUAAAGGAUAAAUUUAUAAUUAAAUGAUAUAAAAAAGUAUUAAAAAUAAUAGUAUUGGAAGUUGUAAUGUGGUUGUAUAAAAAUUUGAAGUUGUUAAUGUAUCAUUACCCAUUUCAAGAAUACAACUUAAACUCAAAAUUACAAAUAAUGGCAUUACAUUAUGCACCCCAUAGUUUCCCAUAAUUUGAAGGUGCAACCAUGGGCAAGAUAAAAAGACAAAAGUAUCCCUACUUUGGAUUUAUAAAAUGCAUAUUAUACACUCUACAAUUCGAAAUGCAUUUUCAAAUUUGGAAAUAUAUUUCUGAAUUUUGCAUUGUUGAAUGUAUUUUUAGAUUCAAAAAUAUAUUUUUGAUAAUUCAAAAUGCAUAUUUUAUUUUGUAUUAUGAAAUACAUUAAUACUAAAAAUAAGGGAAGUUUGAAAAUUUAAAAUCUAUGGAGGUGUAUGCUAAAAUUAUGGGUUAGCCUACAAAUAAUGGGCCAUUGGAUCCGGGUUGCUUCUUCCUGCACCUCCAUACCUUCUUCUCUCACCUCCAUAGAUUUUCGUAUUUCCAAAACUGCUCUUCUGUAAUAUUUCGGAUUACAUAAUUCGGAAGUUAUUUUUCAAAUUUGUAAUUAGCUUUCGGAUUAUAUAAUCUGAAAGUCUUUUUUCAGAUGCAUGAUUACUUUCCGGAUUACAUAAUCUGGAAGUUUUUUUUAACUUCUGGAUUAUGUAAUCCAGAAGUCUUUUUUCAAAUGUGUUUCCGGAUUACAUAAUCCAGAAGUUAUUUUAUGGGGGUGGCACAAGAAGGAUAAAAAUGUAUUUUUCAUGUUGUGUAUGGAGGUGCCAGAAGAAGAUAUGGAGGUGCAGGAAGAAACAGUCUUGGAUCCGAGUCAAACUUUUUAUCUAUACUUUAUUAUAAGGGCUUUUUCUUCUUACACUUCUUAAUUAAUAAUUGCAUCUCAUACUAUGACAAAAAGGCCAAAAUACCCUCCAUUGCUCCACCAUGUCGUCGUCGUUGCAGCUCUAUCUACACUUCCAUGACGAGUUUUUAAUAUCUUUUAGAUUAAAAAUAAUAUAUGAUUUAUAUUCAUUACCACUUGCAUUAAUUUAUAUGUAAGAUUAAUGUUAACUUAAAUAAAUAUUAAAAAGAUAUUAUAUUAAUAUUAAUAAUUACGAAAUUUAAAAAUUAGAACGUAUUUAAUAUUAUUAGUGUUGGUUAAGUUAACUUUAAUGUCUUUCUUUAAAAUAUUAUUAUUACUAAAAAAAUAUAUUUAAUAUUAUUAGAGUCGAUCUUAAUAUUUUUUUAACAUAUUUUUCAUUACUAAAAUAUAUUUGAUAUUAUUAUAGUCGGUUAUCUUUAUUUUAGUAUUAAAAUAUAUUUAGUAUUAUUAGUAAAUUGUCUGUGUUUACCAAGUAUUAACAAAAGUAUGAAAUAUAAAAAAAAAAUGCGAUAUAUAAUUAAAAGAAUAUUUACAGGUUUUUAUUGUUAAUUAAAAAUCAAAACCUUCUUAAAUCACUUCCCAACAAGAGAUCUUACAAAGGACUGUUUCUUCCUGCACCUCCAUGCCUUCUUCUCUCACCUCCAUAUAUUUUCAAAUUUCCAAAAAUGCCCUUCUAUACUAUUUUGAAUUACGUAAUCCGGAAGUCAUUUUUUAAAUUUGUAAUUAGUUUCUGGAUUACAUAAUCUAGAAGUCUUUUUUCAUAUGCAUGAUUAAUUUUCGAAUUACAUAAUCCGAAAGUCUUAUUUAGCUUCCAGAUUAUAUAAUCUGGAAGUUUUUUUUCAAAUGAAUUUCUGGAUUACAUAAUCCGAAAACUACUAUAUGGGGGUGACAUAAGAAGAAUAAAAAUAUAUUUUCAUGUUAUGUAUGGAAGUGGCAGAAGAAAAGAAGAUAUGGAGGUGAGAAACAGUCCUUACAAAGACUUUCAACACACUCUAUUCCAAUUACAUAUGCACCGUACACGUGGCGCUACUUUCACAACAGUCACAGAUGAAUGUGUAAGAAAUAUCUUGCACAGGAUAAAUCUUAACCACUCAUCAUAGUCUCCUCUUAUUAAAACGUGUUACAUGUGUUUUUAUUAAGGAAAAUGAUUGCUUAACACUCACUUCAUCUAAUCCCACUAAAUAUUAAUAUUUUAAUUUUUUUAAUUUUUUAAUUUUAAUUUUUUUUAACAUUUUAUAUUUUUAUUAAAGACAUUCCUUUAUUUUUAUAAUUUAUUUUAUUAUAAAUAUUAAUAUUUUAUUGCAGUGGAAAUUGGAGUAAGGUGUCUACGAAUAAUACGGAGACACGUGGCAGAUAAGGUUGUACGUGACUUCACAUCAUUUUGUGAUCAGACAAUGCUAGUUCAAAAAGCUCCUUGGUUUGGCUUAUCUAUAAAACAGAAGAAGAAGAAGAAGAAGCAGCAGAAGAAGAAGAAGAAGAAGAAGAAGAGGAGGAGAAUGGCGUGUAUGACAGUAGCUAUGUGUGGCCCUGCCUUGAACACCUCCUUCCUUAGGAGACAUGCAGUGAGUCUGAAUGCAUUCCCCAAGGCCAAUGCAGUGUUUGGUGUGAAAGGAGGAGGUGGAGGUCGUGUCACUGCCAUGGCUAAACACAAGGUGAAGCUUAUCACCCCAGAGGGUGAAAAAACCUUUGUCUGCUCAGAUGAAACCUUCAUUCUUGAUGCUGCAGAAGAAGUAGGCCUUGACCUUCCCUACUCAUGCAGGGCUGGUGCCUGCUCUUCCUGUCUUGGCAAAGUUGUGAAUGGCCAAGUGGACCAGUCAGAGGGUAGCUACCUAGAUGACGAUCAAAUCGAUCAAGGAUAUGUUCUUACAUGUAUUGCUUACCCCACCUCUGAUGUUGUUAUCCAGACCCACAAGGAGGACGAACUCGUUGGAUAAAUCUCCCUUUCCCACCAUUUUCUUAGAAUAUGCUUCUUUUGUUUCAAAUGUGAUGGAGGAGGAAGAUUGUUAUUGCAUGAUCAAGGUAUUUUAGUUUUGUUUUAUGCUGUUAGUUAGACUAUAGAGAAUGAACUCCACCUUCAGAAUCUCAUCAAACUUUUUAUUAUGUGUUGGUUAUUGGUUCAGGGAAUUUGUAGUCACUGUAGUAAUGUUUUCCUUGUUGGUUGAGUUAAGAACUCUGAUGUUAGUUGCUUGUUCUGAAUUCAUGCUGAUCUUAAUGGUGACUUUGAUUCUUAUCUGCACCAUUUUAGAUCUUUUGGGUUGUUGGAAGCUAAGAGUCAUGCACAAUGGAGGGUCUAACUACACCUAAAAUUCAUAUAAGAUUAGAAAAUAAGUUAGUUUACAAACUCAAAUUCUACUCUGAUUCUGAGAAGAGUUUCUGAGGCAUUAUAUGAUAUAAAACAUUACAAUUGAUUUCUCUGUCUGAAUAAAAGAAAUUAUUUGAUAGUAAACAAAUAGGAUUAAACUGUAUUAACUUUAAGUUUAAUUCAACUUCAUAAAAUCGAUUUAUGAGGUGAGAUUUUAUAAGGUGAGGUAUCGAAAAUGAUUAUGAUACUAUAUUAAAGAGUGGACAUUAAAGAGCGAACUUCAAGCUUAACUCAACUUUUCGCUUCCACUUAUAAAGAAUGAAAUGUACUGUUGUUGGAGAUCUCUACUUGAAGAUGCUGGCUUAUGGUUUGAAGCCAUUUCUCUGAUGUAGUUAAAGAAAUUUAGUAUAAGGUAAUAAGAUAGAAGAAGAAAGCUAGGAUUGUCACACUUCAUUCAUUCAUCAAACACAGGAGAUGGAAAUGAGUUUUUAGAUUGAGUUGUCUCCUUUUAAGAAAGAUGUUUUCAUUUUGCAGUAAAAAUGUCCCACAAAUUUUUCAAGAAUUUUACACAAGGACUACUGUGUGAUCAAUACAAAGAAACAGUUUUUAUGGGCUAAUUACUGAAUCAAACAUGGUACAAAAUGUUUAGAUGUUCUUUUUAAGAGGAGAUCUAGUGGCAACAAUGAUGGUGAAUAUUGAGUUCAUUAAAUAUAUAACAGUUUUGCAAAGAAAAGAAAGUAGCAUGUGAAGUGAAGAAGAUGAAUGCUACAUAAAUGUAUGGUGAAGGGAAAGAUGAAUAGGCUUGGUAGCAUUCAACCUCCACAUGUUAUUGCACUUUAUUGGAUGAAUCUUUUGCAUUCAAUCCAUUAAUUGCAGGCAAUUACUUCCUCCAACUAAUUUCAGUAUGAAAAGACGAAAAUAUUCUUAGAUAAAAUGAAGGUAUAUAUAAAAAUACAUUUCGGAUUCACUUUUUUAGAAAGAACAAAUUUUUUGUAUUAGGGAUUUUUUUUAUCUGUAACGAAAUUUUGAUUUUAUAUUUUCGGAUUUUAUUUUUGGAGCACAAUAAUCUUUUCUGGAUUAUUUUUUCAGAAUACAUCGUUUUUAAUUCUGGAAUUUUAUUUUCAGAACAAAGGAUAUUUUCAAAAUUUUAAAUUUGUAUAGGGUAUAAGUUAAAAAUGAUUGAGUGUAUGAAGAAUUGGGCUUAAUUGUAUCACAGUUCCCACUAUGUUAACCAACACAAUUGCUUGCUGAAAAUUGUAUCAUAGUUUGAACACAAUUCACAAUUCCAAAUCCUAAAUCCUAAACCAACACAAUUCACAAUUCUAAAUGUAUUUUCAAAUUUGGAAAUAUAUUCUGAAUUAUACAAAAUAAAAUAAAAUAGAUUAAUGUAUUAUGAAUUAUGCAAUUGAAUGUAUUUCUAGAUUCAAAAAUAUAUUUUAAGAAUUCAAAAUGCAUAUUUUAUUUGGUAUUAUGAAAUACAUUCUAGAAUACUAAAAAUAAACAUCCUAAACUAUGGAGGUGCAGGCUAAAAUUACGGGUUAGCCUAUAAAUAAAUAAUGGGCCAUUGGAUCCAAGUCAAAAUUUUAUUUAUACUUUAUUAUAAGGGCUUUUUCUUCUUACACUUCUUAAUUAAUAAUUGCAUCCCAUACUAAGACAAAAAAGGGAGAUAAUUAUUUCAGAAAACUCGUCAUGAAAAUUAUUAUAUAUGUUUUCGAAAUCUUUGUUCCAUAAAUCCUGUUACAGGAUGUUCGGGAAAGUUUAUUUUUGGAAAAAGUUUAUUCCAAAAUACAUUUUAUAUACUAUUAUGAAUGUGAAUAUUUAUUGUUUAAAUCAUAAGGUUUUAGAUUAAAAAUAAUAUAUGAUUUAUAUUCAUUAUUACUUGCAUUAAUUUAUAUGUAAGAUUAAUAUUAACUUAAACAAAUAUUAAAAAUAUAUUAUAUUAACAUUAGGGAUUACGAAAUUUAAAAAUUAAAACAUAUUUAAUAUUAUUAUAAUUGGUUAAGUUAACUUUAAUAUUUUUCUUUAAAAUAUUAUUAUUAUUAAAAAUAUAUUUGAUAUUAUUAUAGUCGGGUCAAGUAUAAUAUCUUUAUUUUAGUAUUAAAAUAUAUUUAAUAUUAUUAGUAAAUUGUUUGUGUUUAACAAGUAUUAAAAAAAAUAUAAAAUAUAAAAAAAUGCGAUAUUAAAUAACGUGUUACAGACGUAUUACACACCGAUACUCUCGUAGGAUGUCUCUCAUUCAAGUGUCAAAUUCAAAAAAUAUUUGUUGAAUUUCUAACAAUUCUAGCAUGAUUUUAACACAAUUUUUUUAAAAAUAUAAUUUUUUAAAAAUUUAAACUUAUUAUAUAAAUUUUUAUUGUAAUUAUAAAAAUAAAAACCAAAUACUUUUGAAUGAGCUAUGAAAAAAACAUGUUUUUUUAAAAUAAAAAUAAAAAUAAUUGUACAUAUAAAUAUUUAUUAAUAAAUAGGUUAUCGAGGUUUCAUUCUUAGAUGGUAACACCUUAAAUAUGUUGCAAAUAAUGAAAUUUGACAAGUUAUAAUUUUGUAAAUAAGAAAUAAAUUAAAAAAGAAAAUUAAAUUUAUAAUAAAUCUUACACACACAAAAAAUAGUGAAUAUAAUGAGAGAUAGAAUGAUGCCACGUGGCAGAUAGGGUUGCAUGUGGCCUUACCUCAUGCACGUUAUAAGCACACUAUUUCUUCAAGCUCAUGCUCCCAUUUGUUAUCCAUCACCAACAACAACAACAACAAGCUUGCAGUGACCAAUGGCUUCGAUCACACCCGCUUCCUGUGGCUCUGUGUUGAACACCUCCUUCCUCAGGAAGCAGCCUCUGAACCACACAAGCCUCAAGGCAUUCUCCAAUGCUAAUGCUGUCUUUGGUGUGAAAGGAGGACGUGGAGGUCGUGUGACAGCCAUGGCCAGCUACAAGGUGAAGCUUGUGACCCCAAGUGGAGAGCAAGAGUUCAGUUGCCCAGAUGAUGCAUACAUUCUUGAUGCUGCAGAGGAAGAAGGCAUUGACCUUCCUUACUCAUGCAGGGCUGGUUCUUGCUCUUCAUGUGCUGGCAAAGUUGUGGGUGGCCAAGUGGACCAGUCUGAUGGUAACUUCCUUGAUGACGACCAAAUUGAACAAGGCUUUGUUCUCACCUGUGUUGCUUAUCCCACUUCUGAUGUUGUUAUUGUCACCCACAAGGAGGAGGAGCUCGUUGCUUAAAUCUUAUCAUCACUUUUGUUAUUAACAUUCUAUUCUUCUGGUUUUUCUUUGACGAGUGUAAGAAAUUUAUACGUUUGUGUUAGCUGUAUAU
rnacentral:lncRNA from 1 species